GGAAGGUUAGGGUCACGUGCCUUUCAGGUUGCGGGCCCUUCCCCCACAUCCAUGACCCCACACGCCACAGGCAGCACAGGGCUCUCCAUGGGCAGCUUCCCAUUGGGGAUGCUGCUGUUUCUCUGCGGAGCAAACGUGAAGCUGCUCACACCCCGACACAGCCACACCCAGCCCUGACUGCCCCCGCUCCAGGCCCCAGCCCCGCCAAGCCUCCUGGUGACCCAGCCUUACCCGCUUCUGGGCACGCUCCCGCUUGUACAGCUUGGCCGCCUUCUUGUUCUGGUUGAGCCCCAGCUUGGUCGACUUGAAGGACUCCAGGCGCUUCCGCAUGGUCCUGUGGAAGAUUUCCCGGUCCUGUUUCUCGUCCUCCGUGGGCGUGAGCUCGUGUCGGCUGUACAGAUGCUUGUACUGCGGGAUCAGGCACGGAGGUCACAGCUGUGCCCACCGCCGGACAUUCUCGCCCUCCUGCCGCAGGAGCUGAGCACGGAUCCCCCGUGGUCCCAGGAGGGGACGAGGAAGCCGCCCCACGGGGUCCCUGCGGGGUCCUCCAGCCCCCAGCCCGCAGUGCCCACCUCCUGCCGCGGCUUGUACAGGCCAGGAGCCACCACAGCCCUGUCUGUGACUCUCAGCUCCCGAGGCUGGGCUCUUCCCCAGGGAAGCUGCAUGACCAUGGCCACAUACAGGAGGUAGGAGACAGAGGCCUCCACGGUGGACGAUCGUGGCGUGAAGUCCACGUUGACCACGUUGUCGGUGCUGGGGGAGCGGAUGAAGGCCAGGGACCCGCGGCGCUCUCCCUGUGGUCAGGAAGCAGCCCGGAGACCCUAAAACUCCAUUGGCCUCAUGUCCAGAACUGAAUCAGCCAGUGCCAGAGCCUGCUGCAGCCCCGACCCGGCAGAGCAAGCGGCUCUGCUACCUCAGCCACGUAGCUGAUGGCAUCCUUCAGGUUCAGCUCGUGGAAGACAUUCAGGAUCCGGUCUCGAGACUUCUGGGCCGACCGUCUCAUGAGGACCCUGCUGAGGAACUUCCUGUCGAAGUGGGACCACCUGUAGGGACAGACCUUGGGUGUGAGCCUCAGGUGACAGGCGCCCUAGAGCCCGCCGGACGCGUGGCCCGGCCCCUUCUCUCCUGAAUUUUGUUUGCUAUAGUGACCCUGUAGGCGCGUUUAAAAUGAGGGAAGCAGCCCCUGCCACACGCCCAGGCCGUCCGCCGUUCUCCCGCCUGUCCUGUUGGAUGGAGGCCGUUAGACGCAUAUGAAACUGCAUGCCGCCUCCUCCAGAGGGUGGCUCAGGACACGCCUAACGGAAUUAGAGUAUUCGCUGGUUAUCCAGAUCAGAAGGGACGGUGGCCUGGCCGGACUUAGAGGAAACUCUGGGGCACAAGGAGGUGAUGCCUGUCACUUGGACAUGGGUGCAGCCGCCAGAGCCGCCCUCCAGGGCACAGGGUGGGCCCGGGUGAGCUUGUGUGCUCACACCUGGGCAGGCCCCGCGGCAGCAAUGGCAGCUCUCCUGUACAGGCUGAGUUUCAGCCACACCAAGAAGUCAAAGCUAACCGAGGCUGUGCCUUCCGAGACCCCCGGGAUGGCCCCUGGGAGGCCAAGGAGUCGGGGACUGGGUACCCGGAGCAGAGUCACUGUGGCCACGGAGAACCGCAGCUGAGCUUUAUGAAGCCACGUGGCCACACCUCCCGGUGCCUCCACCCCAAGCAAACACAGAUCGCUCAGAAAAUGGGAACCCAGGGCAAAUUGUAUGUGCUCCUUACUGGGUUUAUU
rnacentral:lncRNA from 1 species